UACAGGGGGUGCAAACGUUGCUCGGAAUCAUUGGGCGUAAAGCGCACGUAGGCGGUUCGUUAUGUCGGAUGUGAAAGCCCUUGGCUUAACCGAGGAAGUGCAUCCGAAACUGGCGAGCUAGAGUACGGAAAGAGGAUCGCGGAAUUCCCGGUGUAGAGGUGAAAUUCGUAGAUAUCGGAAGGAACAUCAGUGGCGAAAGCGGCUUCCUGGACCAGCACCGACGUCAGGCACGAAAGCGUGGGGAGCAAACAGG
rnacentral:rRNA from 1 species